rnacentral:sRNA from 1 species
UACAAUUCUUGAUUGUAACCUUCAGUGAUCCAUCGCCUGCAAGGAUCACCGUAAGAUGGCGAAAACAAAACUCCCGUAGCCUGAAAGGGAGAGCGAGCAUUGCGGUACAUUUGCGCACUUUUGGAAGCAGAUAUUGUCGGACAAAUAACCC